GCACCCCCAAUUCAUUUCAAAACCCUAUCUUCAUCACUCUCUCUAGUCUCUACCUUCUCUCUAUCUGUAUCGCCCCUCUUUACCCACUCACCUUUUCCACUCUUUCUUCUGGCCAGUAAAGGAUCAAAUUCAAGCCAUGACAGCAGCUUUGACUUUGGCUGUGGGUGGCACGCCUUCAGAGGAGGUUAUAAUCGCGUUUGGAUCGCAAUUACCCGCAGUCCCUUUUCCCCAACUCACUACAGCAUCAAUUCUUCAAGCUUAAAAUCGGGUUUAGACCAUCAGAUUUUGCUUCUCGAGCUUCAGCAACAAUUUUUAUCCAGAGAUGCCGUCUCUAUUAAACGAGAGAAAGGAACACAGAAUCGUCUCCAUCGAAGCCCCCAUCAUCCACCCACCACAAAGAUCGAGGGUUUAAUUUAGGUUUAAGUAGUUACUUUCCUACUCAAAUCUACUCAAUAAGCCUCUUAAUUAAUUCUACAUUGAAACUAGCCCAGUAUAAAACCUGAAAAAUUUUGGUAAGUAACAUUCCAUUAUAUCGUCUUUACAUUUCCUUUCUCAGUUUCUUUCCUGAAUUUCAUUCUGGCGUGGGAAAAUGAAAGAGCUUAGAGGUUUAAUCAAACUUCUCGAAUCGAUGACUUUUGAUGAAAACACAUUUUUUCUCGAAUUCUUGGAGACUUGAAUUUUCAAGAAAUUUAGUCUGGGUAAAGUUAUAUAUUUUGUGAUUAUGUAGUGUUGUUGUAUAUGAUUGAUGGUAAGUAUGGUGUUGAGCUCUUGAGAGAAAAUAACCUCUGUAUUCUUUUUGGGCACUGAUGGUGGUGAGACGACAUCUGUAUUUUUAUUUAUUAUAUUUUUUUUUUUUUGGGUACCGAUGGUGGUGGAGUCGAAUAGAUCAAAUGAAGACAAAUUUGGUCAAAGUUAAUAAAAAAUAGUGCACACAAGUGACUUGGUUUGUACAAUCAAAGACAGCUACAUCGAAGACAAAUUUAUAUGUUAAUUCUAAUUUUUUGUGACCAAGUUUGUGUUAAUUGUGAUUGGUUGUGAGUCUAUUUUUAUUGUGACUGUAUGUAAUCAAAUUCAUCUUAAUUGUAAUUGGUUGUGACCAAGUCUUUGCAUGUGACCAAAUUAAUCGUGACUUAAAUAGUCACAAUGGAUACAAAUUUGGUCACGGUUAGUCA
rnacentral:lncRNA from 1 species